rnacentral:rRNA from 1 species
GUAGGUGGCAAGCGUUGUCCGGGAAUUAUUGGGGCGUAAAGCGCGCGCAGGCGGGUCUUUAAGUCUGAUGUGAAAGCCCACGGGCUCAACCGUGGAGGGUCAUUGGAAACUGGAGAACUUGAGUACAGAAGAGGAAAGCGGAAUUCCACGUGUAGCGGUGAAAUGCGUAGAGAUGUGGAGGAACACCAGUGGCGAAGGCGGCUUUCUGGUCUGUAACUGACGCUGAGGCGCGAAAGCGUGGGGAGCAAACAGGAUUAGAUACCCUGGUAGUCCACGCCGUAAACGAUGAGUGCUAAGUGUUAGUGGGUUUCCGCCCCUUAGUGCUGCAGCUAACGCAUUAAGCACUCCGCCUGGGGAGUACGGCCGCAAAGGCUG